GGGGGGCGGCGGCGGAGAGCGUGCCGCCCGCGGACGAACGGGCGUAGCACGAAAAUACGAGUAGUUGCGCGCGCGUGUCGUCGGAAAAAAGCGUAAUAUUUUUUGUGAAAGUGUUAGCUCAUGCGAAUACGCGUUUUCAAGGUCGAUGGGCGUACAAUAAUAAUAUUAAAUGAGUAAAAACAAUAAUCGUAAAAAAAAAAAAAUAAUAAAAAAAAUACCGACCC